UCCAUGCUAUCUCCUAAAGCAGUCAUUCUGAAACCCAAUCUGGGGACAGUGCAGACUAAAUAAAAUUUCAUUUUGAUUUGGCCUCCCGCUGAGAAUGGGACUGCUUUGUUUCAGCCGACAGAACCAGCAAGCCAGAAAGGUGUUGAAUAUACAAACACUGACUUAACGGAAAAUUAUGGUCAUCGUGGUAAGGGAAAUAUUUUUAUCUGGGCCUCAGGAAAUGGUGGUCUGGCUAAUGAUCACAGCAGUACUGAGGGUUCUGUGAACAGUAUUUGCACAUUGGCAGCUGGUGCCAUCACUGACCUCCACCUCACAACUCCCUCUACAAGGUCUGCUCAGCAAUGAUAGCUGUGGUCCCUACAGAAGUAUCCGGUGAGGUACCAGUGUGUAGGACAGGACCCUGAAACAGGACUUCAAUUUAGAGCAGGGUAACCACAGCACUCAGAGGCAGAUGUGCUUGUGAAUUCAAAGAUGUAUCUAGUGCAGAUCCUUUAACUGCUGUUGUCGUUGCUCUGGUUCUUCAGCCCAAGUAAGGAUGAUCUACGUCUUGCUUUCUGCUCACAUGACAAAGAUAUGACAUUGUUGUCACUUAUUCUUAAGAAAACUAUUUGAGUCAAAUUACAAUAGAGCCAAAAGUUAGAACAAAGCCCUCUUUCUUGUUGAAACAGUUUGCUGUUUUCCUGUCUUUUGCUCAGUUGGUGGUACUGUAGAUAGCCAAGAAAAGAGGAUGAAAUAUAUUAUGGGUGCAUAAAAGAAAAAUACAUUAAAAAAGUAAGAUGAUUUUAGGAAAAUAAUGAGAAACAUUUCAUUAUGUACUGCAUUAACACUGAAAUACAUAAUUCUUCUUCAAAUUCUUAAUGUAAAAUGAACUGUGUUGCAUGCCACAGCAUUAAACAGCAUGUGAAUUAAAUAUCUUCCUGCUUCAAAGAUGCAUGGCUUCAAACCUGAAAAAUUAUAUUAUAUGCAAAUGAUCAUAAAGAACUGACUUUACUGACCAUUUCUUUGUGUUUGGGGGAUAUAUUUCUGUAUGGCAUAAUAUUUCCACUUGCAUUGGUUUCCUGGCAUGAAAAUGUUUAUUGCGCUCAUUAGCUAAGAGGAUGUCGGCACUGGUCCAAUGAACACAGAUCUGCCUUCUGAUUUCAGCCAUUAAAUUGCAAUGGGAUUCAUAGGCUUAACAUUGUGGGUGUGAGAAUAAUAAAAUGGAACUCCAUCUUUAGCCCAGUUACCAUGGAUGCAGUUAAAGGUCAUAGUGGCAGCUGCUAACUAGUUGCCUUUUUAGCUGUAUUUCCCCUCCUGCUAUGUGUUUUCAUGUACCUUAGUUUCUGUAGAUUUGCCACAGUGUAAUUCCACUUACUUACUUGGCACAUGGGUGCCUUCUUCAACACAGUGGGUUUCUUCCUAUGAAUAUGGUUGCUGUGGGCAUCCCUUUAUUUAAUUAUUUGUGUUUUUACAGAAAAUGAAUGUAAGAUCUUUAGACAAAAUACAAAUGCAGUUCCCUCAGCAUUCUGAAUUACUUUCAUGUUCUGCACACUGCUCCAUAUUCCCAACAAAAAAAAAAAUGUGUAUAGUAAAUUCCCAUCUCCAUUUAAACUCGUAAUGGGUUCAGGCACUGAUGCAUUCACAAUGUAGAACAUCAGCUACUAGUUCUUCAUUCGGCCCAAAGUCCUAGGAGUUAAUUCACUGUACUGCAUGAAGUGUCAGAGUGAUUACCACUGAUCAACCCUAUUUCUCAGCAUCCUGCCCAGCUUUGAGAGGCAUCCUGUUUAUUGAUGCACCGCCACAUCAUCACAGUGCUUUCAUUCAGGCGAGCUGCUUAAUCGAAAGGGUUUGGACAAUGUAGGAUUUUCAAAGAGAAGAAGUAGAAACAAAAUUAAAAGUAGCCAAGCAAAAUAAAGUGAAUGGUAAAGAAACCUGAAAGCACUACAAAAUAUUUCCUUAUGUCAACACUUGAUUUCAAUAGAUUUUUAAACUCUGAUUCAUUUUCAAAAGAAGGUACUGUGAGCCUUUUCUUUAGUGACUCAACUUCAUGAUCACAUUUUUAAAAACCAUUUUAGGAGUGAAUAGCUGGAAAACCCACUUGCGGGAAGUUUAUUGUUUUUUGUUCUGUUU